rnacentral:rRNA from 1 species
CCCGUGAAUAAUAAAGAAGGUCCAGCCUGCCCAGUGACUUAAUUCAACGGCCGCGGUAUCCUAACCGUGCGAAGGUAGCGUAAUCACUUGUUCUUUAAAUGAGGACUAGUAUGAAUGGCAUCACGAGGGUUAAGCUGUCUCCCCUCUCUAAUCAGUGAAACUGAUCUCCCCGUGAAGAAGCGGGGAUAUUUUUAUAAGACGAGAAGACCCUAUGGAGCUUUAAACCGCGUAACAACUGCUUUCCCACCUUAUACUUCCAGGAUAACAAACUAUAUCUUAGCAUAAUGUUAACCGGUUUUCGGUUGGGGUGACCACGGAGCAAAAAUUAACCUCCACGAUGAAAGAAACUUUAUUUCUUAACCCAGAGCUACAACUCAAAGUAUCAAAAACCUGACAUAAAUUGAUCCAAUCUAUUUGAUCAACGAACCAAGUUACCCUAGGGAUAACAGCGCAAUCUACUUCAAGAGCCCCUAUCGACAAGUGGGUUUACGACCUCGAUGUUGGAUCAGGGUAUCCUAGUGGUGCAGCCGCUACUAAAGGUUCGUUUGUUCAACGAUUAAAACCCUACGUGAUCUGAGUUCAGACCGGA